CAUUGAUGCUGCAGGUGCUUAGGCCUUAUUUUCCAUCUGUUCUUUGCUCACCUAAGCUAUUCUCCACGUUUGGUCUUUUCACUCAUAAAAGAUCAAAACAUCUGUCCAGUAGUUGAAGAUAAAAGAGGCCCCUUUUUAUUUCAGACCCUAGCACCCCUUUAGUGCUGUCAAUGCUAAAAGCAUACAUGGUACACAGACUAGCAAAU